UUUUUUAAUUAUUUGACUAUAAUACUAUAUUGGUCGGGUUUUAUUGUCUCGGCUCCGUCGACAUAAUAAUAUUAUUCGUAUUUUUUUUUUUUUUCAUGUUAAUAUUAUUGUGUCUGCAUUACAUUAUUAUUAUAAGAUCUGAAUCGACUUUUAAACGCGAGCGUGUUACAAACAGCGUAUAUAUUAUACUCAUAAUUUACUUUUUCAAAAACAAUGUAAUAAAAACAGAAAAAAAAAAAUACAAUCCACACUCACAAUAUUAUUAUUAUUACUGUUGUCGUUGUAGUAUACGGUGAAAUUCGAUUACGAGUAUGAUCGCGGUUGACAUUGACGACUCGGUCGUUUUACCCGCUUUUCUCAAACACACACAAUACAUCAGCUAUAUAAUUAUAUUUAUAUAUAUAUUAUACCUAAAGACAAAAAAUAGUUUGUUUUUUUUUUUUCUCGAUAUUUGGAACGUCUCGGCGACCCGUAUAUCGAUUCGGCGUUACCUAUCCGAUACACCACAAAAAUUUGACGGAUUCCGUUAUUUCGAUACAGUACGGUCGGCGACGAGUAGAUAUAAAAAUAUCGUCUACAACCGUGCGAUCGGUUUACCGCAGUUCGCCGUGCUUCCCCUUUUGUAAUAUAAAAUUCCUUAAAUUCCUUGUAACUUAUGUAUCCGUAUCCAUGUCUAUAAAUUAUCUAUAUGUUCGUUAACAUGUACAACUACUCCACCCUACAUAGGUUUUUCGUCUUCCGAUAUUACCUCCUACGACGGAUUUCGUUACGCAUGUAGCACAAGUGCAUGAUGCACUAUAGAUGCGCGCCCUACCAUUUUGCCCCUUGUUACUUGUACACUACGCCAAAGUGUUCUCGUUUGUUAAUAUAGCACAUAAAGGUAUCUAUACUUACACGCCAUAUUAAUAUACUGACCCAGGAUGUACUGAAUUUAACCGAGAAAAACGAUAACUUCGGCAUUUUGUAAUAAAUUCAGAAGGGACAAGAAAAUACUGCGUCAUGACAUUUUGACAAAAAUGUCGUUAGAAACAAAUUCGGCGCAAUUUAAUUAGCUCUCGGAGUUUAAUUUUUUGAUUCCCUCCGUAAUUAUUUCGUAACAAUUAUAUAUCGAUUACCGAAAUUGUUUUACAAUCGUAAAAUACGACAAUUAAAAUAACUUACAAAUAAAAACAUUGUACUUAAUAUAGCCACUAUUCCAAGUAAUUCACCUACGUGUAUUACAAUUUAUUAAAAACAAUUUGACUGUUUUUAAGAAUUUUUCAACUUUUAUUAGAAGUAUAUUUUGAGAACCGCAUAUUGAAAAACAAAAUGUUAUUGGGAACCAAUCCAAUAGUCGCCAAACAAAUUAUGAUAAACGUAUUGGACACGAGAACUUAAGAUAUACAGAAUAGAGGCGUGAAGAGCUGCAUCAAAACAAUCGGUUGAUGGAAUACGAGAAGAAGAAUAAGAAGACAUAAUCGUUACAUGAGAAUGAAUAGGCUGUAUUGAUUUUUUGAAAAAUCACUUUUCAAUAGAUGGUAAAUAGAUAAAUAGAAAAACCUAACCAAAUAUUUUUUUUUAAACUCAAUACGGAAUUUACGUCUUAAUUUUGCAACAAGAAAUUCAAAAUGGAAUGACUAAAUAGUUAAAAUAAAUCUUUUUUUUUAUAUAUAUAAUCUCAAUAGAAUCUUUUUAAAGUGAAUUAUUAUUUGAGAGAGAAAAUUUACUAUAUCAACAAUGCAA